UUAAGUGUUAACAGGGGAAUGGAGGUGGUAAGCAUCCAUCAUCUUUAUACCACAUUUCAUCCUUGUGAUACAUACACUUCCAUAUUUUCCCCAAAAACAAACGGAAUUAGUGACAAAAGGAUGCACCUCCCUAGGUUCUUUUACCCCUUCAAACUAAGAGGAGUAUCACCAAAAAUCAACUAGUUACUGCUCACCACCUCCAUUCCCCUGUUAACACUUAACCAUACUUCCCCAAAACAAGAAAAAAAACAAAAAUGAAGAUGGCACCUGAGACAUGUCAAACCAUCAAUAAGGUAUGAU
rnacentral:misc_RNA from 1 species